CUCAUGGUUUCACGGUAUUGCAAUGAGAACAAUUUAAAACCCUUAGCGAGAAUCAAGUGGAGGACAAGUCUGGUGCCAGCACCCGCGGUAAUUCCAGCUCCACUAGCGUAUAUUAAAGUUGUUGCAGUUAAAAAGCUCGUAGUUGAACCUCUGUCUGGGGCUAGUUUUGGCUUUGGUCAGGCUAGUUCUAGGCAUCCGCCUACAAGACUUAGAGGGCAUUCAGUUGUUCACUAGGAGGAGUAGGCAUUUUACUUUGAAAAAAUUAGAGUGUUUAAGGCAGGCAAUCGCCCGCAUAUAUUAGCAUGGAAUAAUAGAAUAGGACACUUUUCCAUUUCGUUGGUUAUUGGAAUCGUGUAAUGAUUAAUAGGGACAGUUGUGGGCAUUUGUAUUUAAUUGUCAGAGGUGAAAUUCUUGGAUUUAUUAAAGACAAACUAACGCGAAAGCAUUUGCCAAGGAUGUUUUCAUUAAUCAAGAACGAAAGUUAGGGGAUCAAAGACGAUCAGAUACCGUCCUAGUCUUAACUAUAAACUAUUCCGACUCAAUGUUUGACUGGCUUAUAUAACCAGUUGAGCGUUGUAUGAGAAAUCAAAGUCUUUAGGUUCUGGGGGGAGUAUGGUUGCAAAGCUGAAACUUAAAGGAAUUGACGGAAGAGCACAACCAGGAGUGGAUUCUGCGGCUUAAUUUGACUCAACACGGGGAAACUUACCAGGUUAAAACAAUAGUGGGAUUGACAGUUUGAGAGCGCUUUCUUGAUUGGUUGGGUGGUGGUGCAUGGCCGUUCUUAGUUGGUGGAGUGAUUUGUCUGCUUAAUUGCGUUAACGAACGAGACCUUAACCUGCUUACUAGACUGGCGAUCAUCAAUCGUUAGCUCUUCUUAGAGGGACUUUGGUUGUUUUAACUCCAAGGAAGUUUGAGGCAAUAACAGGUCUGUGAUGCCCUUAGAUAUCCUGGGCCGCACGCGUCAUACAAUGACUAGUUCAGAAAGUUUUCUCCUGACCCGAAAGGGGAUGGGUAAUCUUGAUAAUACUAGUCGUGUUAGGGAUCGAUCUUUGCAAUUAUAGAUCUUGAACGAGGAAUUCCUAGUAAGUGCGGUUCAUCAGACCGUACUGAUUACGUCCCUGCUCUUCGUACACACCGCCCGUCGCUUCUACCGAGUGGGUGGUCCGGUGAGAUAAUUGAACUUCGCAGGUAACUGAGAGGAAAGAUUAUCAAACCUAUCCACCU
rnacentral:rRNA from 1 species